AACGAACGCUGGCGGCAUGCCUAACACAUGCAAGUCGAACGAGACCUUCGGGUAUAGUGGCGCACGGGUGCGUAACGCGUGGGAACCUGCCCUUAGGUUCGGAAUAACUCCCCGAAAGGGGUGCUAAUACCGGAUAAUGUCUUCGGACCAAAGAUUUAUCGCCUUUGGAUGGGCCCGCGUUGGAUUAGCUAGUUGGUAGGGUAAAAGCCUACCAAGGCGACGAUCCAUAGCUGGUCUGAGAGGAUGAUCAGCCACACUGGGACUGAGACACGGCCCAGACUCCUACGGGAGGAAGCAGUGGGGAAUAUUGGACAAUGGGCGAAAGCCUGCUCCAGCAAUGCCGCGUGAGUGAUGAAGGCCUUAGGGUUGUAAAGCUCUUUUACCCGGGAUGAUAAUGACAGUACCGGGAUAAUAAGCUCCGGCUAACUCCGUG
rnacentral:rRNA from 1 species